GGAAACGCUUAUAGGCUAUAGACAGACGUAGCGGACUUAGAAUCCGUUGCCACAAGGUAUGUGGGUUUGAUUCCCACCUUGUCCACCA
rnacentral:tRNA from 1 species